AUGUUGUGGCUCAGUGGUAGAGUACUUGCCUAGCAUGCAUGAGGCACUGGAUUUGAUCCUCAGCACCACAUA
rnacentral:tRNA from 1 species